GGGGGUCCUGUUUGUGUAAGGUGGGCCAGGUUGUGUAGGGGGUCCAGUUUAUGUAAGAGGGUCCAGUUUGUGUAAGGUGGGCCAGGUUGUGUAAGGUGGGCCAGGUUGUGUAAGGUGGGCCAGGUUAUGUAAGGUGCGCCAGGUUAAGUGAAGUGGGCCAGGUUGUGUAGGGGUCCAGUUUGUGUAAGGUGGGCCAGGUUGUGUAGGGGGUCCAGUUUAUGUAAGAGGGUCCAGUUUGUGUUAGGUGGGCCAGGUUGUGUAAGGUGGGCCAGGUUAAGUAAGGUGAGCCAGGUUAAGUAAGGUGAGCCAGGUUGUGUAGGGGUCCAGUUUGUGUAAGGUGGGCCAGGUUGUGUAGGGGGUC